ensembl:miRNA
CUUCCUAGUGGGUGGGGAGGAGAAGUACUGUCCUCAGGAGCCCCUCUCUGUCCCACCUGUAG